rfam:Oryza glaberrima chromosome 5 Oglab05_0141_9, whole genome shotgun sequence.
AAAAAGGCAAACCGUGAGUUCCCAUGCCAACGUUUGACUGUCCGUCUUAUGUGAAAUUUUUUUAUAGUUAGUAUUUUCAUUGUUGUUAGAUGAUAAAACAUGAUUAAUACUUUAUGCGUGACUUAUUUUUUAAUUUUUUCAAAUAAGACGGACGGUCAAACGUUGGACACGGAAACCAGUGUUUGUCUUUUUU